UACGGGGGGGGCAAGCGUUGUUCGGAAUUACUGGGCGUAAAGGGCUCGUAGGCGGCCAACUAAGUCGGAUGUGAAAUCCCCAGGCUUAACCUGGGAACUGCAUCCGAUACUGGAUGGCUUGAAUCCGGGAGAGGGAUGCAGAAUUCCAGGUGUAGCGGUGAAAUGCGCAGAUAUCAGGAGGAACACCGGUGGCGAAGGCGGUUCUCUGGGCCUUACCUGACGCUGAGGAGCGAAAGCGUGGGGAGCAAACAGG
rnacentral:rRNA from 1 species